ACUUUCAGUCAGUGAGGUAAGGUGGAUAUGUUAAUAGUCAUAUUCAUUUGACGUUAGCUGCAGAAGAAGCACCGGCUAACUCCGUGCCAGCAGCGCGGUAAUACGGAGGGUGCGAGCGUUUAAUCGGAAUUACUGGGCGUAAAGCGCAUGCAGGUGGUUUGUUAAGUCAGAUGUGAAAGCCCGGGGCUCAACCUCGGAAUUGCAUUUUGAAACUGGCAAACUAGAGUACUGUAGAGGGGGGUAGAAUUUCAGGUGUAGCGGUGAAAUGCGUAGAGAUCUGAAGGAAUACCGGUGGCGAAGGCGGCCCCCUGGACAGAUACUGACACUCAGAUGCGAAAGCGUGGGGAGCAAACAGGAUUAGAUACCCUGGUAG
rnacentral:rRNA from 1 species